rnacentral:rRNA from 1 species
GACGAACGCUGGCGGCGUGGAUUAGGCAUGCAAGUCGAACGGUAUCAUCCUUUCGGGGGUGAGAGAGUGGCGAACUGGUGAGUAACACGUAGGUUAUCUACCCUCAAGACGGGGACAACCCAGGGAAACUUGGGCUAAUACCGGAUGUGAGCAACUUUUAGUUGUUUGAAAGGUGGCGUAAGCUGUCGCUUGGGGAUGAGCCUGCGUCCUAUUAGUUAGUUGGUGAGGUAACGGCUCACCUAGGCAAUGAUAGGUAGGCGGCCUUAACGGGUGGUCGCCCACACUGGGAUUGAGAUACGGCCCAGACUCCUACGGGAGGCAGCAGUCGAGAAUAGUCUACAAUGGUCGGAAGACUGAUAGUGCGACGCCGCGUGAACGAUGAAUCCCUUCGGGGUGUAAAGUUCUUUUAUAUGUGAGCAGUGCUUCUUAUAUUAACAGUAUGGGGAGAGAGAUAUUAGCAUAUGAAUAAAGCAACGGCUAAACUCCGUGCCAGCAGCCGCGGU